CCUACGUGAGGCAGCAGUGAGGAAUAUUGGUCAAUGGGCGCGAGCCUGAACCAGCCAAGUAGCGUGAAGGAUGACUGCCCUACGGGUUGUAAACUUCUUUUAUAAAGGAAUAAAGUGCGGCACGUGUGCCUUUUUGUAUGUACUUUAUGAAUAAGGAUCGGCUAACUCCGUGCCAGCAGCCGCGGUAAUCCGGAGGCUCCGAGCGUUAUCCGGAUUUAUUGGGUUUAAAGGGAGCGUAGAUGGGUUGUUAAGUCAGUUGUGAAAGUUUGCGGCUCAACCGUAAAAUUGCAAUUGAUACUGGCAGUCUUGAGUACAGUUGAGGUAGGCGGAAUUCGUGGUGUAGCGGUGAAAUGCUUAGAUAUCACGAAGAACUCCGAUUGCGAAGGCAGCUUACUAAACUGCAACUGACAUUGAUGCUCGAAAGUGUGGGUAUCAAACAGGAUUAGAUACCCGGGUAGUC
rnacentral:rRNA from 1 species